GGCGCUAUAGUGUAGUGGCUAUCACAACGGAUUCUGACCUGCUAACGCCACUUUCCGUUAACCCAGGUUCGAACCCUGGUAGCGCCU